CCUACGGGAGGCAGCAGUGAGGAAUAUUGGUCAAUGGACGCGAGUCUGAACCAGCCAAGUCGCGUGAAGGAUGACUGCCCUAUGGGUUGUAAACUUCUUUUGUAAAGGAAUAAAACGAGGCACGUGUGCCUUUUUGCAUGUACUUUAUGAAUAAGGAUCGGCUAACUCCGUGCCAGCAGCCGCGGUAAUCCGGAGGAUCCGAGCGUUAUCCGGAUUUAUUGGGUUUAAAUGGAGCGUAGAUGGGUUGUUAAGUCAGUUGUUAAAGUUUGCGGCUCAACCGUAGAAUUGCAUUUGAUACUGGCAGUCUUGAGUACAGUUGAGGUAGGCGGAAUGCGUGGUGUAGCGGUGAAAUGCUUAGAUAUCACGAAGAACUCCGAUUGCGAAGGCAGCUUACUAAACUGUGACUGACACUGAUGCUCGAAAGUGUGGGUAUCAAACAGGAUUAGAUACCCGGGUAGUC
rnacentral:rRNA from 1 species